CGGCACGGGUGAGUAACACGUAUGGAACCUGCCCUAUGCAGGGGGAUAAGCGGAAGAAAUUCCGUCUAAUACCGCAUAACACCAUUUGGAGACAUCUCCAGGUGGUCAAAGGAGGCGACUCCGGCAUAGGAUGGCCAUGCGUCGCAUUAGCUAGUCGGUGGGGUAACGGCCCACCGAGGCGACGAUGCGUAGGGGUUCUGAGAGGAAGGUCCCCCACACUGGUACUGAGACACGGACCAGACUCCUACGGAAGGCAGCAG
rnacentral:rRNA from 1 species